rnacentral:rRNA from 1 species
AUUGAACGCUGGCGGCAGGCUUAACACAUGCAAGUCGAGCGGAGAUGAGGUGCUUGCACCUUAUCUUAGCGGCGGACGGGUGAGUAAUGCUUAGGAAUCUGCCUAUUAGUGGGGGACAACAUUCCGAAAGGAAUGCUAAUACCGCAUACGUCCUACGAGAGAAAGCAGGGGAUCUUCGGACCUUGCGCUAAUAGAUGAGCCUAAGUCGGAUUAGCUAGUUGGUGGGGCAAAGGCCUACCAAGGCGACGAUCUGUAGCGGGUCUGAGAGGAUGAUCCGCCACACUGGGACUGAGACACGGCCCAGACUCCUACGGGAGGCAGCAGUGGGGAAUAUUGGACAAUGGGGGGAACCCUGAUCCAGCCAUGCCGCGUGUGUGAAGAAGGCCUUAUGGUUGUAAAGCACUUUAAGCGAGGAGGAGGCUACUGAGACUAAUACUCUUGGAUAGUGGACGUUACUCGCAGAAUAAGCACCGGCUAACUCUGUGCCAGCCGCCGCAGUAACAC